rnacentral:rRNA from 1 species
AUUGAACGCUGGCGGCAGGCCUAACACAUGCAAGUCGAGCGGAUGAAGGGAGCUUGCUCCUGGAUUCAGCGGCGGACGGGUGAGUAAUGCCUAGGAAUCUGCCUGGUAGUGGGGGAUAACGUCCGGAAACGGGCGCUAAUACCGCAUACGUCCUGAGGGAGAAAGUGGGGGAUCUUCGGACCUCACGCUAUCAGAUGAGCCUAGGUCGGAUUAGCUAGUUGGUGGGGUAAAGGCCUACCAAGGCGGCGAUCCGUAACUGGUCUGAGUGGAUGAUCAGUCACAGUGGAACUUGGAGACGGUGCAGACUCCUACGGAGGGAAGCAGGGGGGAGUGUUGGGGAAUGGGCGAAAGGCGGACGGAGCAGCGCAGCGUGAGUGAUGAAGGUCUUCGGAUCGUAAAGCUGUGUAAUGGGGGAAGAACAAAUGUGAAAGUAACUAUGCACGUCUUGACGGUACAUAAUCAGAAAGCCACGGCUAACUACGUG